rnacentral:rRNA from 1 species
UUGGAGGGCAAGUCUGGUGCCCGCAGCCGCGGUAAUUCCAGCUCCAAUAGCGUAUAUUAAAGUUGUUGCAGUUAAAAAGCUCGUAGUUGAAUUUCGGGAUUUAUCCGUUGGUCGGGCUUUUGGGUCUGUACUGGCGUGAUGGAUUUCUACCUUCUGAAUAACCGGCAUGUCAUUAAUUUGGUGCGCCGGGGAAGCAGGACUGUUACCUUGAAAAAAUUAGAGUGCUUAAAGCAGGCUAUUGCCUGAAUACAUUAGCAUGGAAUAAUGAAAUAGGACGGCAUGGUUCUAUUUUGUUGGUUUCUAGGAUCACCGUAAUGAUUAAUAGGGAUAGUUGGGGGCAUUAGUAUUCAAUUGUCAGAGGUGAAAUUCUUGGAUUUAUUGAAGACUAACUUCUGCGAAAGCAUUUGCCAAGGAUGUUUUCAUUAAUCAAGAACGAAAGUUAGGGGAUCGAAGACGAUCAGAUACCGUCGUAGUCUUAACCAUAAACUAUGCCGACUAGGGAUCGGACGAUGUUAAUUUUUUAAUGACUCGUUCGGCGCCUUACGGGAAAC